rnacentral:lncRNA from 1 species
GUUUUUUUUUUUUUUUUUUUUAAACAUUCUUUUAUAUGUAUGAAAAAUUUGCCUGCAUGUAUAUAUGUGCACCACAAGUGUGUAGUGCCUGAAGAGAGCAGAAGAGGGUAUUGAAUCUGGAACUAACAAUGUGAGCUACCAUUCCAACCUGGGCAUUCUGGAAGAACAGCCAUGGCCUGUAACUGCUGAGCCAUUGUUCCAGUCCUAUUUGUUUCUGAGACAGGAUCCCAUUCUUAUCCCAGGCAGUAGGCUGGUUCCAAAUUUAGUUUGUAACCCACAUUGAUGCCUUGGUGUUCUAAGUGCUGGAAUUACAUGUAUGAGCUAUCAUGCCCACUCUCGGUCCCUGUUUUGCUUCUUAUUUUUGAGAAAAGGUCUUGCUUAAUUACUCAGGCAGGCCUUGAGUAUGCUGUCUUUGCCUUUCAAGUAGUUGAGAUUCCAGGCUUGUGCCAUCAGGACUGAACAAUAGCUAUUACAAAGCUUGCCAUCCUCCUUAGAGGCUAAAGAGCUUUCUUGUCUUUCUUUGACUUUGAAAUCUAAGAAUACCACAUGGUAGAAGACUACAGACACAUACUAUUAAGUCUCUGCUUGGGAAAAGGAAGAAAUAUUUUUAUCCCUUCUUAAUGGGAAGAAUAUCUUCCAAGUGUAGUUUUAGCAACCACUAGGGAGAUACACCAGUAUGGACUAGAAGAACGGCUUGUCAAGGUUUCUCAAGAGACCCUGUCUCAAAAGUUUAAGGGAGAGAAUGAUUGAGAUUGAUAUCCAGUGUUCACCUCAGGACUGUAUACACACACACACACACACAUUUAAUUAGCUUGCAAAGUAAUGUGCUUCCUUAGGAUUUUUAUAACACCUUCCAGCACUAUGAAAGCUAGCCAAUAGGGAUGAAGCUUCCAGGUGAAUACAGCUUGAUUUCUCCAAGUUGUCUGACUCAAGUAUUGUCAUCAUUAGGGUCUUACUAUCAGACUCUUUGGUAACCAAGAGCACUGCAUAGUCUGUGAUAAUGAACACUUUAAGGUGGUUAUUAGCUAUUUUUUGUUUCUUUUGAGAGCUCUCUGUUCAGUACCAUGACCCAUUUUUUUUUUUUUAUGUUAGGACUCUGUGUAUAUUUUAUUGGCAUUUGUCUAUGCACUACAAAACCAUUUUAGUUUCAUUGUAUCCUAAUUGCUGAUUACUGGCCUUACUUCCUGAGCAAUUUAAGCUCCUGUGCCUAAGGUCCUUACCUGUGCCUGUAUCUUGAAGUGUACUUACCUCUUUUUCUCCUCUAGCAGUGUUGGAGUUUCAGGUCUUCUUUUGAGGUCCUAGAUCUCUUUGGAGUUUACUUUGUCCAUGUGAGAGAGUUACAGAUUUAAUUUCAUUCAUCUACGUGUACAUACACAGGUUUUCUAGUAUCUUUACCAAAAAUCAGGUGGCUCUAGCUGUGUGGCCUUAUAUCUAGGUUCUUUAUUCCACUGACCAUGUGUUUAUGCCAGUACCAUGGUUUGUCUCUGUAAUGAAACGUGAAAUCAGGUAUAGUGAUACCCCAAUAGCAUUGUUCUUUUUAAGGAUUAUUUUGCCUAUCCUGGAUCUCCUGUAUUUUCAUACGAAUUUUAAGAUUAAAGGGUUUUGUUUUCUCAGUUUUGGUAAAAAAUGUCACUGGAUAUUGAUUAAGAUUGCAUUAAGUAUGUAGAUUGCUUUUGGUAAAAUAGUCAUUUGCAUGAGAUUAAUCUUUUUAAUCUGUGAGCACAAGAAAUCUUUAUCUUUUAGUGUCUUCUCAGUUUUUCUUCAGUGUUUUCAAGUUCUUAUUAUAGCAUCUUUUAUAUUUUUGGUUAGAUUUAUUUCACAGUUGUCAUUGUUUUAGAGGCUAUUGUGAAUGGGAUUGUUUCCCUGAUUUCCUUUCCAGUUUGUCACUGGUAUGUAAGAAGGCUGCUGAUUUUUGUAUAUUAAUUUUAUGUCCUGCUAUAUUGUGUAAACUACCUUUAAGAGUUUCAAGUCUUUAGAGUCUUAUAUGUAUGGAAUAAUGUCAUCUGCAAAUAGAGAUACUCUGAUUUUUCCCUUUUCUAUCUGUAUCCCUAUUGCUUGAUUUUCUUGUUUUACUACUCUAGCUUAGACUUCCAAGUACUAUAUUGAGUAAGAGAGGGGAAAAGUAGACAUCUAUACCUUAUUCCUGCUUUUAGUGUAAGUACUUGUGAGUUUUUCAGAUAUCAGAAAGUCUGAUAUCUGAUAACAGAUUUGCCUGUUAAAACACAAACAUUAAUUAAUCAUAAACGUAAGGAAGUUAGAGCGGGGACAGUAGAGUCUGGCUAUUCUGAAAUCAAUCAGCAUGGGAGCUCAUGAUAAGUGAGCUGUGCAGCACUGAAUGAAACAGUGUCUGUAGGCUUGUCCUAUAUAGCCUUUAUUAUGUUGAGAUGUGUUCCUUCUACUCUGAGUUUUUUCAGGACUUAUUUUUCCCUUCCAAGACAGGGUCUUACUGUGUAGUUCUGGCUGUCUUGGAACUCAUUAUGUAGACCAGACUGGCCUCAAAUUCACAGAGAUCUGCCUCCUUAGUGGUUGCCACCAUACCUAUCCUUUUCAGGGCUUUCAAUAGGAUGGAAUACUAGUUUUUGUCAAGUUUCUUUUCCCUGAAUCUAUCAAGAUGCUGUAUCUCAGAUUUUAGUUAAUGGUUACUAUGUACAGUACUUGCGAAAUAGUUCAGUACGCAAAUUGGAUUGAAGAUAUAAUUCCAGUUUAUAGAUUAAUAAAUUGAAAAGACAAGACAAACCAGGAACGGGUAGCAUUUGUUCAUUAUCCUAGCACUCAGGAGCCUGAAGGAAGAAGAUUCCAGGCCAGUGUUGCUACAUAAGUUUGAGGGUCAUCUGAGGUGCCUUAGACCCUCUAACAAAACCAAAUGGAAAAGCAAAAAUACAUAGCAAAAGUCAUGGCUUUGGAGUGUAGUUUGGUUUUUGUUACUUUUGGCCUCGGAACAUACUUUCGCCUGCUGAAAGAAUGGUUUUAAAAAUAACUGUUUGGCUCUUUCUCCUACUUUCCUUCUGUCUGGACAACUUGGGCAUGUAGCAGUUUCAGAGUAUCUUAAACAGUAGUUGUUAAAGUAUAGACCCUGGAUCAGAUAUGUGUCCUAGCUUCAGAAUCUGGACACGCUCUCAACAGUCUGUUUUAGUAACCUCUCCAAAUGAUUUUGAUACAUGAAAAUGUUCAAGAAUCACUGUGUUAAAGUUUUAUCAUCUUAGGAACAUUUUACCUUUGAUAAAUAAUAACAAAAUUUCUGCUUUGGAAAUAAUCCAGUAGCUGGAAAGAUAACUAAUAUCAAUAAUAUCCUGGAAUGUGAAUAAUAAAUUUCCAACUGUGCAUUGGAGUUGACUGGUGAAUUUAAAACAAAACAAAACAACAACAACAAAACCCAGCAAGCAUGUUGGAGGUGGAGCAUGACUUUAAUCUUAGCAAUCCAGCCAGAGGCAGAAGCAGGAGGAUCUCUACAAAAUCAAGUUCCAGGACAGCUAGGGAUUUACGUAGAGAAACCCUAUCUCAAAAAACAAAACAAAACAAAAC